rnacentral:rRNA from 1 species
AGAGUUUGAUCCUGGCUCAGGAUGAACGCUAGCUACAGGCUUAACACAUGCAAGUCGAGGGGCAGCAUCAUCAAAGCUUGCUUUGAUGGAUGGCGACCGGCGCACGGGUGAGUAACACGUAUCCAACCUGCCGACAACACUGGGAUAGCCUUUCGAAAGAAAGAUUAAUACCGGAUGGCAUAGUCUUCCCGCAUGGGAUGAUUAUUAAAGAAUUUCGGUUGUCGAUGGGGAUGCGUUCCAUUAGGCAGUUGGCGGGGUAACGGCCCACCAAACCUACGAUGGAUAGGGGUUCUGAGAGGAAGGUCCCCCACAUUGGAACUGAGACACGGUCCAAACUCCUACGGGAGGCAGCAGUGAGGAAUAUUGGUCAAUGGACGAGAGUCUGAACCAGCCAAGUAGCGUGAAGGAUGACUGCCCUAUGGGUUGUAAACUUCUUUUAUACGGGAAUAAAGUUAGCCACGUGUGGCUUUUUGUAUGUACCGUAUGAAUAAGGAUCGGCUAACUCCGUGCCAGCAGCCGCGGUAAUACGGAGGAUCCGAGCGUUAUCCGGAUUUAUUGGGUUUAAAGGGAGCGUAGAUGGGUUGUUAAGUCAGUUGUGAAAGUUUGCGGCUCAACCGUAAAAUUGCAAUUGAUACUGGCAGUCUUGAGUACAGUUGAGGUAGGCGGAAUUCGUGGUGUAGCGGUGAAAUGCUUAGAUAUCACGAAGAACUCCGAUUGCGAAGGCAGCUUACUAACCUGUAACUGACAUUGAUGCUCGAAAGUGUGGGUAUCAAACAGGAUUAGAUACCCUGGUAGUCCACACGGUAAACGAUGAAUACUCGCUGUAGGCGAUAUACAGUCUGCGGCCAAGCGAAAGCAUUAAGUAUUCCACCUGGGGAGUACGCCGGCAACGGUGAAACUCAAAGGAAUUGACGGGGGC